GACGUAGGGCGCGAGCGUUGUCCGGAUUUAUUGGGCGUAAAGAGCGUGUAGGCGGUCCGGUAAGUCCGCUGUGAAAGUCGGGGGCUCAACCCUCGAAUGCCGGUGGAUACUGUCGGGCUAGAGUGCGGAAGAGGCGAGUGGAAUUCCUGGUGUAGCGGUGAAAUGCGCAGAUAUCAGGAGGAACACCGGUGGCGAAGGCGGGUCUCUGGGCCGAUAUUGACGCUGAGGAGCGAAAGCGUGGGGAGCAAACAGG
rnacentral:rRNA from 1 species